UCCCACCACAAGCCAGUCCAUAUCCAGCUGAAACCCCAGACUAAAUUUCCUUCUUGUCCCCAAUUUCCCAUCUCCAAAACCCACAGGGAGGGACUUAAACCCAUCAUAGACCCAUUACUUGCCCGGCGACUCCUCAUUCCUACAGACUCCCCCUCAACACCCCCAUAUUGCCAGUACACAAACCCUCAGGGGCCUAUCGCUUAGUCCAGGACCUCCACCUAAUUAAUGAGGCGGUCAUUCCCUCCACCCGGUGGUUCCCAGCCCUGACACUCUUCUUUCUCCUAUCCCCUCUCUGACCACUCGCUUUACUGUCCUGGAUCUUAAAGCUGCCUUCUUUACAGCGCCCCUCCAUCCUGACUCUUAUCACCUCUUUGCCUUCACAUGGGAAGACCCUGCGUCCUUUAGGUCUCAACAGCUGACAUGGACAGCCCUACCCCAAGGGUUCAGGGACAGUCGCCACCUCCUUGGUCAGGCCUUGGCACAGGAUCCAACUGCUUGUGACUUGGGGACAGCACUCUCUUACAGCUGGAUAGGAGCCUUCCCUACCCCCAGGGAAACUGCUGACACCCUCGCCUCCAUCUUUAUCGAGCAGAUCAUUCCCAGGUUCAGACUUCCCACCUCCAUCCAGUCAGACAACGGUCCAGCCUUCACUUCUCAGGUUCAACUAGUCUCCAAAGGCCUCAACAUCACUUGGAAGCUCCACAUCUCCCACCAACCCCCAUCCUCGGGUGAGGUUGACAGGACUGACAGCAUUCUCAAGGAUCAUCUCACUAAACUUGCUAUGGAACUUGGCUGUCCUGGCCCCAUCUCCUGCCGUUGGCCCUCACCUGAGUCCCUUUGAGCUGCUCUAUGGCGCCCUUUCUUAAUCAAGCAAAGCUUUCCUGUCACCACUCCUCCCCUGUGUCCCACCUGCCCUAUCUCACACUUCUACACAGACUCCUAAGGGAACACACAGACCGGUGUCUUCCUGCACCAUCUGUUACCUCUGUCCCAGCACAACCAGGAACUGAAUCGGACCCUCUUCAACCGGGUGACGCAGUCUUACUUCGAGAGCUGCAUCCUCAGUUGUAGCAACCUCGCUGGACAGGACCCCAGUCAUACUUACUACCCCAAUGGUGGCCAAGCUCUUGGGCCACUCCCCCUGGUACCAUGUGUUCUUCCUUAGGAAAGCACCUGUUCCAAAUGUCCAGUCCUGGACUUCCACCACAUUGGGGCCCACCCAACUCAAGGUUUCUCGCCAACCCUCUUCUUCUUUUGCUAAUCAUUACUCUCUCUCAAGCUUCUCUCCCAACCCACAGAUGGCGCUUCUACAUCCAAGCGACAUGGCAGCAGGAUGGCACCACCCACUCUCAGUUUAUGGGCCAAGGCGAUUGCCCUUUCACUGGCUGUAAUCGGGCUAUCACCCCUAAUGUUACUGGAUUCAACAGGGCCACCUCGUCCCACCUGUGCACAGCAAUGCUGUGCUUCAUAGCAGACCAAACUGAGGAAUCCUGUAAGUGCCGGCCUGACACCUAAGGUGGGUGCCCUGAUAAUUCAUGCAAGACACGCUUCCUAGAUGAGCCUGGCUAUGAGAGUCGAG
rnacentral:lncRNA from 1 species